AGCCAGUUGAUGAGUCCCAAGUAGGACGAAACAAGCGUUCUGGAU
rnacentral:hammerhead_ribozyme from 1 species